rnacentral:tRNA from 1 species
GCCUGGGUGGCUCAGUGGUUGAGCGUCUGCCUUCUGCUCAGGGUGUGAUCCCAGGGUCUUGGGGUUGAGUCCCACAUCAGGCU